GCCGGGUGCAGUGGCAUGUACCUGUAAUCCAAGUCACUGGGAGGCUGAGGUUGGUGGAUCAAGUGAGCUGAGGAGCUCUGGGCUGCAGCACGCUAUGUCGAACGGGUGUCCAUGCUAAGUUCGGUAUCGAUAUGGUUUUCCUGGGGGAGCCUGGGACCACCAGGUUGUCUAAGGAGGGGUGAACCGGCCCAGGUCGGAAACGAAGCAGAUCAAAUCCCCGUGCUGUCCACUAGUGGGAUAAUACCUGUGAGUAGAUGCUGCAGUGCAGCCUUGGCAAAACAUUGAGACCUAAUCUUUU
ensembl:misc_RNA Metazoa_SRP Metazoan signal recognition particle RNA